rnacentral:rRNA from 1 species
AGUGAACGCUGGCGGUAGGCCUAACACAUGCAAGUCGAACGGCAGCACAGUAAGAGCUUGCUCUUACGGGUGGCGAGUGGCGGACGCGUGAGGAAUACAUCGGAAUCUACUUUUUCGUGGGGGAUAACGUAGGGAAACUUACGCUAAUACCGCAUACGACCUACGGGUGAAAGCAGGGGAUCUUCGGACCUUGCGCGAUUGAAUGAGCCGAUGUCGGAUUAGCUAGUUGGCGGGGUAAAGGCCCACCAAGGCGACGAUCCGUAGCUGGUCUGAGAGGAUGAUCAGCCACACUGGAACUGAGACACGGUCCAGACUCCUACGGGAGGCAGCAGUGGGGAAUAUUGGACAAAGGGCGCAAGCCUGAUCCAGCCAUACCGCGUGGGUGAAGAAGGCCUUCGGGUUGUAAAGCCCUUUUGUUGGGAAAGAAAAGCAGCAGGUUAAUACCCCGCUGUUCUGACGGUACCCAAAGAAUAAGCACCGGCUAACUUCGUG